ensembl:lncRNA
GGGGGAGCUGUCCUGUGAGGGACACAAGGUCAGUGUCUGCCCUUCAGGUACUUGUGAUCUGAAGGAGGAGAGAAAAAAAUGCACAAGACAGCAGAGUCUCCAGGCCAAAUGAAAGAAUCAACUAGCUUUGUUGGAGUUCAGAGGAAAGACUGCCCUGGAGGCCUCAGAGCUAAGGGUAAGCCACAUGGUCACGAUGAAAUACUGGACAUGGGUCUCAGCCCUGGGUCUAGCCAAUUACAAAAGGGAUCCAAAUUCUGGAAGAAGUCACACAUUGACCCCAACCAGAAGGCUGAAGCUACUAAUCAUGAUAUUCCAAUUGCAACAAACCUGAGUGGCUAAGGAGAAAUGGAAAGAGAGAGCACACUGAAGAUAGCAGGCUUCAUUGGAUGGCAAUUCAGAGCAUGCUUUCUGGCCUGUGCCUCUCCAAGCUCUGGUCGGUGAUGGCCAUGAUAUGCUGCAGGACAUCGUCCAUGUUGGAUCUGGGCUGGGGCCUGAGCAUGCAGCACAGGGCUGGGGAUUACCGCCCAGGAUGUGUGUGGGUGCUACAGGAAGGGAUGUCCAUGAGUGGCAGGGCCAGAUGGACGCUUAACCAGGAGCCACCAAGCCUGGAGAGCUUGCACAGACAUAGGCAACUGCUGUAGUCUGUGUGCCAGGCACGCAUGUGCAUGCGUGCAUACAUGUUCAGAGCUUCAAUUCAGUCAGUUCAGUCACUCAGUCAUGUCCAACUCUUUGUGACCCCAUGAACUGAAGCAUGCCAGGCCUCCCUGUCCAUCACCAACUCCCGGAGUUUACCCAAACUCAUGUUCAUUGAGUUGGUGAUGCCAUCCAACCAUCUCAUCCUCUGUCUUCCCCUUCUCCUCCUGCCUUCAAUCUUUCCCAGCACCAGAGUCUUUUCAAAUGAGUCAGCCCUUCGCUUCAGGUGGC